UGACAAUGGUGUCUUUGAAGUGGUGGCCAC
rnacentral:piRNA from 1 species